AUGGAGUGGACAUGCAGGCUCAUUUUCCUGCUGGUGGCUGCCCCAGUCCAGCUGGUGCAGCCCGGGGCUGAGGUGAAGAGGCCUGGAGAGUCAGUGAAGGUCUCCUGCAAAGGCUCCGGCUACACCUUCACCGACUAUGCUAUAAACUGGGUGAAGCAGGUUCCAGGGAAAGGCCUGCAGUGGAUGGGCUGGAUCAACACCAAAACUUCAAAGCCAACAUAUGCUGAGGGCUUCACAGGACGAUUUGUCUUCUCCCUGGAUGCUUCUGUCAGCACAGCGUAUCUGCAGAUCAGCAGCCUGCAGGCUGAAGACAUGGCUGUGUAUUACUGUACGAGACACAGUGUAAAAAACCACAUCCUGAGCGUGUCAGAAACCCUGGGGGAUGAGCUCGGCCAGGCUGGGACAACCUGA